rnacentral:antisense_RNA from 1 species
AGAAGCAGGACUGUGAUCUGGGUGGGUGACAGCCUGGGUGAGGAGAGACUCCCACACAGGAGUCAUCAGCCACAGCAUUCACUGUGCAGAACCUCAAAACGUGUCCCAUGAUCCCUCUGAAUUGACCAUAAAGUUGGACCCAUCAAGUCCGCUUCCUUAGACUCAGAGCGCCUAUAGCACAUAUACGCACGAUCUCCAAGGAGAAGUAUACAGUAUUAGAUGAGUUCAGCUUACCUUUCGGCCAUUAACAAUUAAUUCAUGCUGCCAUUGUGUUUUUAUAAAAAAGACUUUCUUUUCCACCUCUCUCCCAUUCAUCAUGUUCCAUAGAGCUCAGCUUUGUGAUCAGGAAACCGAUUGUAAAGUCCAGAAUGAGGACACGGGCUCUACAUGGUGUGGAAUGGCAGUGAGACAGGCUAGGACUUCAGAACUCAACUGAUCACACGCAGUAGGGAGAAGAACAACCAAGCUGGGCUUCAAGAUGCCUUAUUUGGACACUAGUUUUUGAUGUGUCUCUGAUGGUUAUUAACCAGACAUUUCAAGGGCAAGAAACUAUUUCCCAAAAACUACCUUUUGAGACAUUUCCAGAGGCUGCCCUGUCCUCUCUAUCCAGAGACUCAACCCCGACUCACCUCCUCUAGGAAGUCUCCCACAUGGGCCUCGCUCUGCUCCCUCCUCCUCACGGCUGACCCUGCUGGGUCGUCCUGCCAGCUUGGACACUUGUUUGUUGUGGCUUUUGUAAAAUACUCUGUAGUCA